rnacentral:misc_RNA from 1 species
GUGAAUCAUCGAAUCUUUGAACGCAAAUUGCACUCUCUGGGAUUCCUGAGAGUAUGCCUGUGUGAGGGUCAGUUUAAAUAAAAAUCGUUGUGGUUGCUGCCUUUCGUGGUGACGCACCGGAUUUGGGUCGUCUUGCCUUCGUUUAAGUGACCUAAAAUUUUGCAUGAGUUUUUUCGAACGUAUUUAAGUUAUUUUACUUACGUUUUCGAUAUCUAAUACUAUUUGUGGUCCUCGUC